UUGUAAAUUAAAACAAUGUUACGCCUGACUCGAUCUCUUCAUCAACAGCGAUGACAGUUCCAAGUGAGCUGACAUCAGGACUUGACAGUUCUGUCAACAGGUAGCUACCCGACAUGGUAGUCAUCGUAGACGUGGGUGUGCUUUCACCUGGGAUGCUAUCUCCCCAGACAGAUGAGCUGUAGAGUUACCAAUUAAAUGUUCUCACACGUUGUCUAUAGAAUGCGCAUCCAGCUUGUGCCUCAACAGUGGUUUGGGCUCUCUUGUCUCCUGAAAAGGGUAAGGACGGCACACCUGGCAGCAACUGCUAGUCCAUUUGACUGUCUGGGGAACCAUUGAUGUUUCUAAAUGAUGACAGAGAGCUGAUGGAUUGGCUGCAUAGGCUUAAGGUUGAGACUUGGGGAAUCUGUGGAAGUUUUGGGUAAACCACGAGGACAAUGACUAUGGAGCACCAGGACGUGUAGUUUGGAGGCCGGUAGAAAGGCUCUGGGGUAAUGCUGAUCUUCUUGACUCGAGUAUUACUCCCACUAGGAUGAUCUGAUCCUGUCCUGAGAUUCUCUGGUCUUGUCUGGGUCUAGAGUCCGCUGAUUAUUUUUCCUUUUUCUGGACGACUUUGGCCAUGUUGACUUGGGAGAGUUUUUCUUUGAUUCUCCAUAAUUAGGGUCUGUGGUCCUGGUUCCUGAGGUCUGGUCUGGUGGCUUUCCCCUGCCUGAAGAAGAUUUUGGCUUACCAGAAGAAACAGACGAUGUUGCAAUGCUGUAGUUCUCUAGAUUUUGAACGUUUUGGGCUAUAAUCUUCCUUUUUAUUCCAGCUGACUCUACUACUUGGCAGGCACUGUCUUUAACCACUACGCCACUAAACUAUUCAUGUGUAGAGUGUUCUGCAUUGUUAAACCAACUACUCGAAACUAGUACCUUACAUUAACUAACAUCCAAACCUACAACAGGUAUAACAGGGUUGAUACACAACAUUCAACGCGUUAAAUUAAAAAUAGAUUGCGGCGCCUCCCCUCUGACCCGCUACUCCAACUAUUUCCAAGACGCAGUGUGUAUGAAUCCACUUUUUUAACACCUCGCUUGUAGCAUGUUACCAAGUCCAUAUCUUUCACUCCCGCUAUCAUAAGUGUCCUCAGAACGGAAACAGCUGGCAGAGAGAAAGGAGAAGUCCUGGGUCCUGGGUAGAUGGACCCAUCAAGAAGAGGAACACCAAAGACGCCCCAAUCUCUGAACGCCCCAAUCUCUGUCCUGCCGUGCGGAGAGCCACAGAACAAGGAAUCAAAACCGGUGACCCCAGGAUAGCCGGGUAAAAAUCUGGUUCAACAGUUCAAGCUGACCUUUUGGGCACGGGAACGGCGAGCACCAUGUGGGACAGCUUUGUAGAAGUGAGAGAGGGAAGUUGUUUUUGCUAUUGAGUUGACCUGGCACGUGGGGGGGGCUUCCCGACGAGUACAAUUGAGUUGGCAACUUUCCUCAUGAAUUAAGUGUGUUGGGUUCAUUUCACAGCUGUUGCAAGUGACUAUUAAUUGCUGCAAAUGCCGGUUGACCCCUAUUUUCCCCAAUCUCUGAUUGGAACACAUUAUGGGAUUUGGUUUGGGUUUGUUUAUGGUUAAUUACAUUUUCAAGUCAAUCAUUUUCAUCCAGCCACAGCAUCAGACAUUUUGUCUCCACCCUACCUGGAAGAGGUCUGAAAUGAUCAGGAACAGGUCAAAAAGUGGCUACAAAUUGCUUUUCAAAACUCCGAAAUCAAAUCUGGGCAAUGAUUUCCCAGAUGUGCCUAUACUGUAAGUGAAAGCUUAAUCAAGUCUACCUAGUGGGCUUUGGAUCAUGUACAUUGGCUACCUGCGGUGCCCCUCUAUGUACCUUGGCAAAGAGUAAUGACUUAACCACUGUCCAUUACAGCUGGAAUAGGAUAGCAGCUUCAGAAGCACCUGGAUCGUUCCGGGUUUGAGCAAUUUACAAAAUUGGACGAGAAGCAAGAAGCGAGGAGACGUAAUUCUGAAAUGAUUAUCACUGCCUGAUGCACAACGGAGUAGCUUGUACAAUGGGCCACGACCGGAAAACUAGUUCAGUGAUGUUGCCCUCUUCUUGGUUGUGUAAUUGGGUUGGGUGUAGACAAAACAUGUCCUAUAAAGCCUCUGAGUACACACAGGAAAGACACAAAAUAUUUCUCUGUUUGUUUACAUUGUUACAGCUGCAAAUGUUUUAGAUUUAUCAAGCAUCAUCCUCUUCACCACUCUAUUUAGCACAUCUAACCAAUAAUACACACCUAAUUGGGUAUAGCUGGGUGUCUUUCAUUUAUUAUUUUCACCCAGCAAUUUGCCGUAGAGCUAUGUUCUUGGCUACAGGAUCAUAAGCCGUUUCCGUUCUGGACUCCCUGCAAAGAACAUACUAAGGGUCAAACAUCCGCUGUUUAGUGCAAACCCCCACACAGAAAAGUCCCUGCCCCUACAUGACACAGAACCAGCAUUUGCAUAUAACUUCCUUUGAAUAAGUGAUUAAGCAAUAAACAAACCAUUAACAUCUUUCACAGUUCGGCAAUAUUCAGUAGCCUACUUAACGAGAGCUGCUUAGAGCUGAAAACGUUGCAGUGAAACGUCUUAGUUGCUGUAACUUCACAAAUGGACAACAAAAUGUUCUUUCUCACUCAGACAUCAUUGCACAUGUGAACAGACAUCCAGUGUAGGUAUUACUAUUCGUUUUUACAUUGAUUGUUGUAUACUAAUUUCCUCAAAAGGAAAAGCUAUAAGAAAUGUAUCUGUUAUGGCCAUUGGGAUUGCAUCCUAGUGGUUAAAGAUGGUUAUGAAAUGUUAUUCCAGAUUCUAGGCUACUACUGGUCGUUUAAUAUUGUCCUUUGAUAUCUCAAUGACACGUUCAGAGUGUUGUGCAUUUAAAAAUAAUGGCAAUUGCACAUGUAGGCUAUUCUUAGUAAUGGUCAUGUAUUUUUAUUUAGUAGAAUAGAAGCAAGUGCC
ensembl:lncRNA